GUGUGCGUGUGUGUGUGCGCGUGCGCUUUAGGGCCGCUCUGCGUGUGGUGCUGCUGACGUGUGGAAAACAACCGGAAGGAGGACCAGAAGGAGGCAAUGCUGAAGAACAAAAGGCGUGGAGGAAGGAGCGUGAUUGGGAGAGGAGAAUGGGACGUUAGCGAAAGUUGCUGGAGACUGGUGGUGGCGGUGCUGGUGGUGAUGUCCUACCCCUUUGUUCGCUGUGUCCUGGGAAGCGGGUUCCUCACUAUGUCAGAACUCCAGCUCACGGUAUCGGUCGGUACCGGAUCUACGACUCAUUUGCCCGACUAAGGCCCCCUCCCUCCCAUCCCGUGGUCCUCUCCCACCCUCCCUUUGGUGAUUUGAGUGGCGGUUCUGGCAGGGGUUUGACCGGCUUCCCGUGCCCUGCAGCCAGCGCCCCCCGAGCCAGACUUCUGGCGGACCCCCGGAAGCC
ensembl:lncRNA